rnacentral:rRNA from 1 species
AGUCGAAACUAAUUAUACAUAAAAAAAGCAGUUAAAUACCUAAUCAAAUUAUAAUAAAAUUAUAACUUAAAGAAUAACUACACUUACUAUUCAAAUAAAUGAAUAAUCAAUAUUUUAUUAUUUAUAAUGUUUUACUUUAUUUAAAAUUAUAC